GACAUUUACUGUUAGUUAAAUGUUAAGACAUAACAUAAAAAUAUCAUUUGUGUUUACCUGAACAAUUUACAUGUCACUAAGUAAUACAAGUUACUGUCAAUGACUUGUACUUUACUUACAAACUAAUAUCGCGCAUGCAAAGGAUUCGGUUAUUAUAAAAUGUUUGUUUUGGGUUUUUUAAAGACCAACGUUUUUGUUGUUGGUUUUUUAACUGCAGGACAUAACGAACUUAGGACUGAAAAUGUAUGCCAUUGUGUUUUUUAUAAUUUCGAAUAAGACCUUGUACAGGUAUUUUACAAUUUCGUCCAUAGCAGGACUCCAAAAGAAAUGUAUCAACUGGUACACCUGUAAUUAUGUAUCAUGCAGACAGUACGAAAUCACGACGUGCCUUCAUU
rnacentral:lncRNA from 1 species